CCAACGAGAGAGGAGAAAGAGAUGUGAUCGACAGCAAGAGAAAAAGCUAGGCUCUCUCAGUCCUCGCUCGCUCCUCUCAAAUGGGAACAAGCAAGGGAGUUUGGGAGCGAUGGGAGCGCACACUCUUUGAACUCUGUUCCCAUUUUACCACAACCCCACCAAUUCCUUGCCUUUUUUUUUUUCUGGUUAUGAUGAAGGCUUGAAUAUUUGACUGAGUAGGGGAAGAAAAAAUUCUUACGCAAGUUCAAGUAUCAUUUAGUGCAUAUCUCACCACUCCCCUCAAUGGGAUCGAAACAAGAUGUCAGGUCCCCUUAUCAACCUUGAGGUCAAUUAAUGCCUGGAUGCAAUUCGUAGCCUAUGGAUGGAGGAUGAUGCACAGAGGAUGUUCAAAGAUAGCAGUCUUCUGGAUUACACUUUAUAAUCCACAGCUUCAGCUCCUACUUUAACGGUUGCGGUAUUUGUGAGAGACCAUUUCAAAGGACUGAGAACAAGCAGGAAGUUGCUAGCAAGUUAGUAGAGAAAAAGGAUCGCCUUCAGAAUGGGUGGAGUGAUAAAAUUGCACUGAAAUUUUUUUCUUAUCCCAUCAAGUUUGUUGAAUUGAUUGGGGCAUUUCCAUGUAUCAAAGUAAAUAUUUUGGACGAGAAUUUGUGAACUGUUUUCAUGUAAUAUGUGUACAUACAUAUAAAGAUACUGAAAAGAAGGUUUUUGUGUU